rnacentral:misc_RNA from 1 species
GAUGAAGAACGUAGCGAAAUGCGAUAAGUAGUGCGAAUUGCAGAAUUCAGUGAAUCAUCGAAUCUUUGAACGCACAUUGCGCCCCUUGGUAUUCCAUGGGGCAUGCCUGUUCGAGCGUCAUUUGUACCUUCAAGCUCUGCUUGGUGUUGGGUGUUUGUCUCGCCUCUGCGUGUAGACUCGCCUCAAAACAAUUGGCAGCCGGCGUAUUGAUUUCGGAGCGCAGUACAUCUCGCGCUUUGCACUCAUAACGACGACGUCCAAAAGUACAUUUUUACACUCUUGACCUCGGAUCAGGUAGGGAUACCCGCUGAACUUAAGCAUAUCGAUAAGCGGAGGA